AACGCACGCUAGGGUUACCGCGGCUGCUGGCACGGAGUUAGCCGGUGCUUCUUCUGCGAGUAACGUCACAGAUGUAAGGUAUUAACUUACACCCUUUCCUCCUCGCUGAAAGUGCUUUACAACCCGAAGGCCUUCUUCACACACGCGGCAUGGCUGCAUCAGGGUUUCCCCCAUUGUGCAAUAUUCCCCACUGCUGCCUCCCGUAGGAGUCUGGGCCGUGUCUCAGUCCCAGUGUGGCUGAUCAUCCUCUCAGACCAGCUAGGGAUCGUCGCCUAGGUGAGCCUUUACCUCACCUACUAGCUAAUCCCACCUGGGCUUAUCCAUCAGCGCAAGGCCCGAAGGUCCCCCUGCUUUCCCCCGGUAGGGCGUAUGCGGUAUUAGCAGUCGUUUCCAACUGUUAUCCCCCACAAAUGGGCAAAUUCCCAGGCAUUACUCACCCGUCCGCCGCUCGUCAUCUUCAAAAGCAAGCUUUUGAAAUGUUACCGCUCGACUUGCAUGUGUUA
rnacentral:rRNA from 1 species